rnacentral:rRNA from 1 species
ACCCGCUGAACUUAAGCAUAUCAGUAAGCGGAGGAAAAGAAAUUAACAAAGAUUGCCAUAGUAAAGGCGAUUGAAGUGGCAAAAGCUCAAAAUUGAAAUUGGGAAUUCAAGGAAUUCUCGAAUUGUAAUCUAAAGUGGUUUGCCUAAAUACAGAAAGGUUCUUAAGUUUUCUUGAAUGAAACGCCAAAGAGGGUAGAAGUCCCGUAAAGUUCCAAUCUGAUGUAAGGUAAACUAUCAAUGAGUCGGGCUGCUUGGGAUUGCAGCCUUAAGAUGGGAGGUAAAUUUCUUCCAAAGCUAAAUAUGGAUGGGAGACCGAUAGCGAACAAGUACUGUGAAGGAAAGAUGAAAAGAACUUUGAAAAGAGAGUGAAAAGAUCUGAAAUCGUUGAGGAGGAAGCGGUAGAAACUAGAUGCUGCUAUGAUAUCGGUACACAGCAAAAACUGUGGAACUUAUUCAAUGCAGCGUGCCAAAUGAAGUCUAAUACAUCAAGAAUUAAGGAUGUAAUAGGCUUGAGGGACUAUUGUGAUUUGGCUGAAAUGGUUUUUACUGUCCCGUCUUGAAACACGGAUCAAGGAGUCUAACAUAUAUGCGAGUGUGCUAGUGGUAAAACUAAUACGCAAAAUGAAAGUGAAAGGUGCGAAGCUUUAUAGCAGCAGCAUCGACCAACCUUACGGGGUUUGAGUACGAGCAUAUCUGUUAGGACCCGAAAGAUGGUGAACUAUGCCUGAGUAGGGUGAAGUCAGGGGAAACCCUGAUGGAGGCUCGAAGCGAUGCUGACGUGCAAAUCGCUCGUCAAACUUGGGUAUAGGGGCGAAAGACUAAUCGAACCAUCUAGUAGCUGGUUCCCUCCGAAAUUUCUCUCAGGAUAGCUGGAACAGAAAUGCAGUUUUAUCAGGUAAAGCGAAUGAUUAGAGGAAUCGGGACUCUUUUGUCUUGACCUAUUCUCAAACUUUAAAUUGGUAAGAUCUUUUGGUUAUCUUAAUUGAACUGAAAGGAAAAAUGUAUGUUCCGUGUGGGCCAUUUUUGGUAAGCAGAACUGGCGAUGAGGGAUGCUCCUAGCGUUGGGUUAAGGCGCCUAACUGUACACUCAUCAGAUACCAUAAAAGGUGUUGAUUCAUCUAAACAGCAGGGCGGUGAACAUAAAAGUCGUUAUCCGCCAAGGAGUGUGUCAUGACUCACCUGCCGAAUGAAUUAGCCCUGAAAAUGAAUGGCGCUCAAGUGUACGGCUAAUACUCAACCAUCAGCACAAAAGGUAGUGCUGAUGAGUAGGAGGGCGUGGACGUUGUGAGAAGCCUUUGGCGUGAGCUUGGGUGGAACAUCGUCUAGUGCAGAUCUUGGUGGUAGUAGCAAAUAUUCAAAUGAGAACUUUGAAGGCCGAAGUGGAGAAGGGUUCCCUGCGAACAGUAAUUGGUCAGGGGUCACUCGAUCCUAAGGCUUUGGUUAGCUCUGUAUAAAGUGCUCUCCAGCACAAGCCGAAAGGGAAUCAGGUUGAUAUUCCUGAAGCUGGGGUGGUUUAAUGGCAACAUAAACCGGCUCAGAGACGCCAGUACGUACUCCUGGAAGAGUUUUCUUUUCUUUUUAACAAGCAAAUGACCUUGAAAUUGGAUUAUCCAGAGAGAAGGUUAUAAGCUUGGAAGAGCACCGCGCUUUUUAGUGGUGUCAGGUGCGUUCGUAAUGGCCCUUGAAAAUCUGAGCGAGAAGAAUGCACCCCGGGUCGUACCCAUAACCGCAUCAGGUCUCCAAGGUU